UACGGAGGGUGCAAGCGUUGUCCGGAAUUAUUGGGCGUAAAGGGUUCGUAGGCGGUUUGUCGCGUCGGGAGUGAAAACCUCGGGCUUAACUCGGGGCUUGCUUUCGAUACGGGCAGACUGGAGGUAUGCAGGGGAGAACGGAAUUCCUGGUGUAGCGGUGAAAUGCGCAGAUAUCAGGAGGAACACCGGUGGCGAAGGCGGUUCUCUGGGCAUGAACUGACGCUGAGGAGCGAAAGUGUGGGGAGCGAACAGG
rnacentral:rRNA from 1 species